rnacentral:rRNA from 1 species
AGUGAACGCUGGCGGCAUGCCUAACACAUGCAAGUCGAACGGCAGCACAGCAGUAGCAAUACUGUGGGUGGCGAGUGGCGGACGGGUGAGGAACACAUCGGAAUUUGCCCAGUCGUGGGGGAUAACGUAGGGAAACUUACGCUAAUACCGCAUACGACCUUACGGUGAAAGCGGGGGAUCGCAAGACCUCGCGCGGAUGGAUGAGCCGAUGUCGGAUUAGCUAGUUGGUGGGGUAAAGGCCUACCAAGGCGACGAUCCGUAGCUGGUCUGAGAGGAUGAUCAGCCACACUGGGACUGAGACACGGCCCAGACUCCUACGGGAGGCAGCAGUGGGGAAUAUUGGACAAUGGGGGCAACCCUGAUCCAGCAAUGCCGCGUGUGUGAAGAAGGCCUCGGGUUGUAAGACUUUAUUCGGAACGAACGUAGCGGGUGAAUAGCUCGUAACUAGUACGGUACCGGAGGGAAUAAAGGCACCGGCUAACUUCGUUGCCAGCAGCCGACC